GAUGAACGCUGGCGGCGUGCUUAACACAUGCAAGUCGAAUGGAAAGGCCCAAGCUUGCUUGGGUACUCGAGUGGCGAACGGGUGAGUAACACGUGGGUGAUCUGCCCUGCACUUCGGGAUAAGCCUGGGAAACUGGGUCUAAUACCGGAUAGGACCACAUUUUGGAUGGUGUGGUGGAAAGUUUUUCGGUGUGGGAUGAGCUCGCGGCCUAUCAGCUUGUUGGUGGGGUAAUGGCCUACCAAGGCGUCGACGGGUAGCCGGCCUGAGAGGGUGUACGGCCACAUUGGGACUGAGAUACGGCCCAGACUCCUACGGGAGGCAGCAGGGGGGAAGAUUGCACAAUGGGCGCAAGCCUGAUGCAGCGACGCCGCGUGGGGGAUGACGGCCUUCGGGUUGUAAACUCCUUUCGCUAGGGACGAAGCGUUAUGUGACGGUACCUGGAGAAGAAGCACCGGCUAACUACGUG
rnacentral:rRNA from 1 species